rnacentral:rRNA from 1 species
CACGUAGGGUGCGAGCGUUGUCCGGAAUUAUUGGGCGUAAAGAGCUUGUAGGCGGUUUGUCGCGUCUGCCGUGAAAUUUCGAGGCUCAACCUCGAACUUGCGGUGGGUACGGGCAGACUAGAGUGUGGUAGGGGAGACUGGAAUUCCUGGUGUAGCGGUGAAAUGCGCAGAUAUCAGGAGGAACACCGAUGGCGAAGGCAGGUCUCUGGGCCACUACUGACGCUGAGAAGCGAAAGCAUGGGGAGCGAACAGG